GAUGAACGCUGGCGGCGUGCUUAACACAUGCAAGUCGAACGGUGAACACAGAGCUUGCUCUGUCGGAUCAGUGGCGAACGGGUGAGUAACACGUGAGCAACCUGCCCCGGACUCUGGGAUAACAGUUGGAAACAGCUGCUAAUACUGGAUACGAGCUGCGGAGGCAUCUUCAGCAGCUGGAAAGAAUUUCGGUCCGGGAUGGGCUCACGGCCUAUCAGCUUGUUGGUGAGGUAACGGCUCACCAAGGCGUCGACGGGUAGCCGGCCUGAGAGGGUGACCGGCCACACUGGGACUGAGACACGGCCCAGACUCCUACGGGAGGCAGCAGUGGGGAAUAUUGCACAAUGGGCGCAAGCCUGAUGCAGCAACGCCGCGUGAGGGACGACGGCCUUCGGGUUGUAAACCUCUUUUAGCAGGGAAGAAGCGAAAGUGACGGUACCUGCAGAAAAAGCGCCGGCUAACUACGUGCCAGCAGCCGCGGUAAUACGUAGGGCGCAAGCGUUAUCCGGAAUUAUUGGGCGUAAAGAGCUCGUAGGCGGUUUGUCGCGUCUGCUGUGAAAUCCCGAGGCUCAACCUCGGGCCUGCAGUGGGUACGGGCAGACUAGAGUGCGGUAGGGGAGAUUGGAAUUCCUGGUGUAGCGGUGGAAUGCGCAGAUAUCAGGAGGAACACCGAUGGCGAAGGCAGAUCUCUGGGCCGUAACUGACGCUGAGGAGCGAAAGGAUGGGGAGCAAACAGGCUUAGAUACCCUGGUAGUCCAUCCCGUAAACGUUGGGAACUAGUUGUGGGGACCAUUCCACGGUUUCCGUGACGCAGCUAACGCAUUAAGUUCCCCGCCUGGGGAGUACGGCCGCAAGGCUAAAACUCAAAGGAAUUGACGGGGACCCGCACAAGCGGCGGAGCAUGCGGAUUAAUUCGAUGCAACGCGAAGAACCUUACCAAGGCUUGACAUAUACGAGAACGGGCCAGAAAUGGUCAACUCUUUGGACACUCGUAAACAGGUGGUGCAUGGUUGUCGUCAGCUCGUGUCGUGAGAUGUUGGGUUAAGUCCCGCAACGAGCGCAACCCUCGUUCUAUGUUGCCAGCACGUAAUGGUGGGAACUCAUGGGAUACUGCCGGGGUCAACUCGGAGGAAGGUGGGGAUGACGUCAAAUCAUCAUGCCCCUUAUGUCUUGGGCUUCACGCAUGCUACAAUGGCCGGUACAAUGGGCGGCGAUACCGUAAGGUGGAGCGAAUCCCAAAAAGCCGGUCCCAGUUCGGAUUGAGGUCUGCAACUCGACCUCAUGAAGUCGGAGUCGCUAGUAAUCGCAGAUCAGCAACGCUGCGGUGAAUACGUUCCCGGGUCUUGUACUCACCGCC
rnacentral:rRNA from 1 species